UGUCAAAGGACAUGAUUUUGAGCUUUUGCCAUUUGGAGCUGGGAGAAGGAUGUGCCCUGGAUACAGCUUGGGUCUUAAGGUGAUUCAAGCUAGUUUAGCUAAUCUUCUACAUGGAUUUAAUUGGUCAUUGCCUGAUAAUAUGACUCCUGAGGAACUCAACAUGGAGGAAGUUUUUGGGCUCUCAACACCCAAAAAGUUCCCACUUUCUGCUGUGAUUGAGCCAAGGCUUUCAUCAAAACUUUACUCUGUUUGAUUCAGCACCUACUAUGGUUCCAUCAAAACAGAGUUUCUUUAUCCAAAUACUUAGCUAAAUAAACUUCACAUGUCUCCUUGCACCCACUAGCUAUAGCCCUAAUACUCUACUUUUUUUCCACUUUUGCCCCUCAAGUCACCUGAGGUCCCCAGGAUUUGCUUAUAUGUUUGUAUCACUCAGGAUGUGCUAAUCAAGGUUAAGAAAAAUGAAUCAAUUUCAAUAUUUCUGUGCUGUAAGAAUGUUUCUUAUAUAUGAUUUUGAAAAAUUUCACAUCAUGAGUUAGCUCUUUUAUUUUAGUUUGUGAGAAAGUCAGUCAUACUACUUUAGUUAAUUAUGAUGAAAUGGAAUAUGGAUUUUUGUUGAAGUCAUUCUUCUAUCGUUCUAGUUGUUAGUGAAGCGACUGUCUGAUAUCCCAUCGUGUAAAUAGCACUGCCGUCAUAUCCUCAACUAGAACAAAGGAAAUAAGAACGAUUAUCAGCAUGGUCCCUAUUAUCAUAGCCUUGUUAAAUAUUUUAGAUAUUAGACUAAAAAUAGACUCCUCUUAUAAGUAAACAGCUUAAUAUAAAAUUCUAACUAAUCCAGCAUAUCAACAGCAGCAGAGGCAAGAUUUUAGCGUCUGCACUACAAAUGUUCAAUCUUGAACAUGAGGGGUGUUAGAAUAUCUUACAUUGGUUGAGAGAAAGGAUGUUUGUCUCCUUACAGGAUAUCGGUCUAGACUCACCUCAUAAAUUAGCUUUUGAAGUUAAGUUAGGUUACAAGUUAAAUUUUGUUAAUAAAUAAUGAUGUCUUACUAAUAAGUCAUCACAGUGAUGCUAAUCUAGAGUCAUACCUGCAAAAUACUACUCAAACACAAUGUUGCAAAGGAAUUUCUCCAAGGUGGCUGGGGAUUGGGGAAAUACUUUCUUGGUUUUGGGUCUUCCACUUAUCAAAUAUCCAAGUGACCCACUACUAGCUGUGAUCAGCUUACCCGGGCCUUGACAAUUUAAUCAGAUAUAUGUAACCUACCACUAGCAUAGAUACCGAAUAACUUCUGUCAUCCACUAGUUCAUAUUAAGUGAAUUGUUAAGAUUUUCAAAAUAAGUGAUUAUUCAAAGUUCAAUAGAAUUGUUGAGGCUGUUUUUUUUAAUAUAUAUUUAUUCUUCAUUAAUUCUUAAUUCCUUUUAUAUAUUUCACAAAGAAUAGUUUGAGAAUAAAAAAAAAUAAUCAUGGAAAGUACUAGAAUAUUUUUUUUAAUGAAUGUGUUAUACCCAAACAAUAAUAGCAAAGACAGUCCAGAAGAAAGAAGUACGUAUUUGUCUUGUGGUGUUGUGGAUAGGUCACAAUCAGUUGUGAAUUAGGAAAGAAAAUCACUUCAUUAAUUGAGCUAUCAAGAUUUCAAGUGUAUUAACUUCCUUAAGAAUCUAUAUUCACUAUUUUUCUUUUUUCAGUGUCUCUGGGUGUUUGGAUGGUAGUUAGGGCACUCCACUGUGUGGUGACACUUGAAAGAGUUGUUAAGGGUCCAAAGCUAUGAACUUGUACUACUUUAUUAUUCGUUGUAAUAGUCUAAUGUGAAAUCGAAUUAACUUACAAAUUUUAGAAUAUGUAACAAGUGUUCAUUUUAGGGAUUAAAGCAAAGAGUCACUAGUCAAAGUCGAGGUAAACGUCAGGUCAAUGCUUUACAAAAUUUGGCGGAAGGUGUGAAAAUUAUAAUUGAUAUUUUGGAGGUACAAAAAAUAUCUUAGGUAUUUAAUAGAAUUUUCUAGAAUUUUGUAGAAUAAUAUCUUUGGUAUUUGUACUUAAGAAAAAUAUAGAUAGUCUAGAGUAUCAGAUAUUUAAGGAAGAUAUUUGUAGGAAAGAUUAGAAUAACUAGAUUCUUAAUAUAUAGAAUCAUCCUUGCCCAAGUAUAAACAGGGAUGGCCUUAGUCAUUUGUAAUCAACUCAAGAACAACUCAAAUCAAAUAGUUUUCUUCUAUAAUAAAGUUCUUUUAUCCAAAAAUACUCAUUCUCCUUUCUUGCUUUCUCCUCUUUGGUUGAAUCUUUCGAUCUUAGUUAACGAUCUUAAGCUAGCAGAAGGGUUCUGUGAUUAUACUUUUCUUCUGCUGCUAUUCUCUAUAGAAGAUGCAUCACGUACCAAAUUGGAAGACUUAACCUUUUUGUACACGAAAUUUCUAAUUUAAAGUGAAAUGCACAAACUUACAACUUGUAUUCUCUUAUAAGAUCACUUCACUCUUUUAACAGAUUUAUUUCUGUCUGAAUAUAAAUUAAUCGUAUAACUAAAUUUUAAAUAACAAAUGUUACCAAAAAAUAAAUAAACCAUUCGUCGCCGUUUUUCCCUUCUGAUUCAUUUGUGAUUUUUCCCACACCAACAUAAAGUAUGUACUUAUUAAAUUCUAGUUGAUUAACACACUGUUGAAGGUAGGGAGGAAAUAAGAAAAAGUUUCUUGGAAAACCAAAGGCAACUGAAACAAAGUUUCCAGGAAAUUAUUACACUUUUUUUUCUCUACGGUUCACUCCCACCCGGUGUUCGAUAUCUAUAUUGAAACCAGACUAAAUUCAAAUUAGUGCUAAGAAAGUUUUCAUUGAGGUAAAACGCUUUCUAACAAAGGCGACUCUGUACCAAGAAGAUUCAAACUCAGGAUCUCUGUAAGGAUGAAGCAAUAGUUAUUAUCACUCCACCACAAAUUUUGUUGGUACUCUCUCUAUUAAAGUGACAGAAAAAUGUUCAACAACCUAUAAAAAAAAUAGUAGUCUCACUGUCCCAAUAUAUGUGUAACAUAAAUUGAUACACAUCAAUUAUUCAUGCAAGUAAUAGUAUUAGACCAUCUCACCAUCACCAUAAAUACAGCUUUGGUGAAGCCAUAAACUACACACUCCAAACAAUUAACACUUGCAAUCACUGUCAGUCCUCUUCCACUACAAAAGGUAGUACAAACAACAUAAUGGAAGGUACUACUUGGACUGCAGUAUUUCUUGCUACUCUGUUUCUUUUGCUUCUCUCCAAAUAUCUUCUCCAGAGGAAACUCAACUUACCUCCGGGACCAAAACCAUGGCCAAUCAUCGGAAAUUUAACCUUAUUGGCAGCCUUCCUCACCGAUCCAUCCACGAACUCUCCCUCAAAUACGGACCCAUUAUGCAACUACAAUUCGGGUCUUUUCCCGUCGCAGUUGGCUCCUCCGUCGAGAUGGCCAAAGUAUUCCUUAAAACCAUGGAUAUCAACUUUGUCGGCAGGCCUAAAACCGCAGCCGGAAAGUACACUACCUAUAACUAUUCCGAUAUCACCUGGUCCCCGUACGGAUCUUAUUGGCGUCAGGCACGUAGAAUGUGCCUGAUGGAAUUGUUCAGCGCGAAACGGCUCGAUUCAUAUGAGUAUAUUCGGGCUGAGGAACUUCAUUCUAUUCUUCAUAAUUUGAACAAAAUAUCAGGAAAACCGAUUCUGCUGAAAGAUUAUUUGACGACUCUGAGUUUAAAUGUUAUUAGCAGAAUGGUACUGGGAAAAAGGUACUUGGACGAAUCUGAAAACUCCAUUGUAACACCUGACGAAUUUAAAAAGGUGUUGGAUGAAUUGUUCUUACUUAAUGGUGUCCUUAAUAUUGGAGAUUCAAUUCCAUGGCUUGAUUUCAUGGACUUGCAAGGUUAUGUUAAGAGGAUGAAAGUUUUGAGCAAGAAAUUCGACAAGUUUUUGGAGCAUGUACUUGAUGAGCAUAACGCCAAGAGGAACGCAGUGGAAAAUUACGUUGCUAAGGACAUGGUGGAUGUUCUAUUGCAGCUUGCUGAUGAUCCAACUCUCGAGAUCAAGCUGGAGAGACAUGGAGUCAAAGCAUUCACUCAGGUAUUCACUUUAUUUUUAUAAUGACGAUAUAUAUAACUUAAACUCAAGAAAAUACUAAUUAGAUUAUGAGUAAUUUUCAUUAAUCAAUCACUGAAUUCUUAGUGCUCUGCUCUGCUCGAGGUGAUGGUAUACUAUUCCUCCACUCUGUUGAUAUGGACAAUGACGACAUAUUGUGUGGACCCAAAACUCAGCUAUCAUUUUCCAACAAGAAAAAUAAUACUCCCUCCGUCCCAUUUUAUGUGAUGUACUUUGAUUUGGCACAAACUUUAAGAAAAAUGGAAAGACUUUUAAAACUUGUGGUCCAAAAUGAAUGAUAGAAAUUUGUGUGGUUGUAAAUCAUUUCAUUAAGGGUAAAAAAGACAUUUUAUAGGCAAAUUGUUACUUAAAAUAGAAAUGUGUCAUUCUUUUUGGGACUGACUAAAAAGGAAGUGAGUCAUAUAAAUUGGGACAGAGGGAGUAGUAUACUCGUAAUAAUUGAACUGUAUCAAUGAUUUUUUUUUUUAUUUUUUUUUUUUGAUAACCGAGAAAUCCGUCUGUGACCCGCCCUUUGAACCAAUCACAGCCUUCUAAACUCGGUGGAUAAUGGGCCCGCCCCUCUCUGUAUCAAUGAUUAUGUUCAUAGAAAAUGAUAUCCCUUCCACUUUCUGUCUUGGUAAAAUGGACAAAGAAACUAUUAAAAGAACAGAAAUAAUUUUUUUAGCUAAAUAACAAAAUCUGUCUCUAAUUCUAUUUAGCCACACAUUAUUAAUAAAAAGUGUAAGCUACAAACUAUUUAGCAAUAGUCAGGUUAUUUGUAUUUGUUUCUUGUGCUUUUGUUAUAGUUGAUGACAUGAGUAAAAUGUGUAUUGUGCUAUCAGGACAUGUUGGCUGGUGGAACUGAGAGUUCAGCAGUAACAGUGGAAUGGGCAAUUUCAGAGCUGUUAAAGAAGCCAAAGAUUUUCAAAAAAGCUACAGAGGAAUUGGAUCGAGUAAUAGGCCAAAACAGAUGGGUACAAGAAAAAAAGACAUCCCGAAUCUUCCUUACAUAGAGGCAAUUGCGAAAGAGACUAUGCGUCUGCACCCCGUGGCACCGAUGUUGGUGCCACGUUUGUGUCUGGAAGACUGCAAGGUAGCCGGCUAUGACAUUCCAAAAGGAACCAGGGUGCUGGUGAGCGUAUGGACUAUCGGAAGGGACUCUACAUUGUGGGACGAGCCUGAGGCUUUCAAGCCCGAGAGGUUCCUCGAGAAAUCCAUCGAUGUCAAAGGACAUGAUUUCGAGCUUUUGCCAUUUGGAGCUGGGAGAAGGAUGUGUCCAGGCUACAGCUUGGGGCUUAAGGUGAUUCAAGCUAGUUUAGCUAAUCUUCUACAUGGGUUUAAAUGGUCAUUGCCUGAUAAUAUGACUCCUGAGGAACUCAACAUGGAGGAAAUUUUUGGGCUUUCAACACCCAAAAAGUUUCCACUUUCUACUGUGGUUGAGCCAAGGCUUCCAUCAAAACUUUACUCUGUUUAAUUCAGCACUGUUUGUUUCUUUGAAUUGAUGCCCCGUUUAAGUCUUU
rnacentral:lncRNA from 1 species